CUGAAGCAACAGCCACACACACCCGUGUCCCUCCUUCCCCAGGCUCCGGCUGCUUCCUGGAACGGCGCAGGGCAGGCAGGCCAGGAGCCUGCCCUACCCCCGGUGUCUUCAGUUUUCAGGAAGCAAUGUGCUGAAGAGAACAGGCUGUUUUAUCCUAUUUCUGCUGGAUUGUCCAACUUUGUUCCUUUUCUUGGAGGUGCUGGCUUGGAUGAGUUAGAAGAUGAUCCCUGCUUCUUCUGAAGAUUCAAAAUGACCAGCCAAAAAGAGAGGAAUAUUUAAACACGCCGUGCCAUGCAACUCUGCCAGAGCUUCAGCCUGCAGCGACAAAGGACAGUGACAGCGACUGAAUAUGACGUCAUGCUGAUUGGCAUCUACAGGGCUAAUACAAACAAGUGAACUUUAUUAAACUUGACAUAUCUAAUAAGCAGAACACUUGGCUGGGAUUGUUGGCCUUGAAGUUAUUGAAAUGUUUAAUACAGUACGGCAAUGAAAAGAGAGGAAAAAAUAUCCAAAACAUAUGGGAGGAAGAAUAAUAUAAGAUCAGGUGACACAAAGAUAGUACUCUUUUCUGGAGAAUAACUAGACAUGUGGAACAUUGCAGCCUUCUUGCUCAGGCUUGGAAUAAGCCAUAUGCCGUGCUGCUUUGUACACACAGACAACACAAGAGCAGAGGCAGAAAUGAAGGAUGUAGUGCACAUCAACUGGUGAGGCAGCCAGUCCUGAAGAUCACACACAAAAGCCUUUGGAGUUCAAGUUGCCAGUGUUCAGCAAUUCCUUGUGCUCUUCACACCUUGAGGGGAAAAAGUGGAUUUGUAAAAGUGACUUGUUAAAGUUUUCAAGAGAAGUGAAAAGAAGUCAGCUGACAGAAUGUAAAGGUUAAUUGGAGAGCAUGGUUC